AACGAACGCUUGCGGCGCGCCUAAUACAUGCAAGUCGAACGACGUAGCAAUACGGAGUGGCGCACGGGUGAGUAACACGUGGAUAAUCUGCCCUCUACUGGGGAAUAACUAACCGAAAGGUUAGCUAACACCGCAUGAGACCACAGUGCCUGCGGGCACAGAGGUUAAAAUUUAAUUGGUAGAGGAUGAGUCUGCGCGGGAUUAGCUAGUUGGUGGGGUAAGUGGCCUACCAACGGCAACGAUCCCUAGCUGGUCUGAGAGGAUGACCAGUCACACUGGAACUGAGACACGGUCCAGACUCCUACGGGAGGGCGAGCAGUAGGGAAUAAUUGCGCAAUGACGAAAGUCUGACGCAGCGACGCCGCGUGAGUGAUGAAGG
rnacentral:rRNA from 1 species